CCUACGGGUGGCAGCAGUGGGGAAUAUUGCACAAUGGGGGAAACCCUGAUGCAGCGACGCCGCGUGAGUGAAGAAGUAAUUCGUUAUGUAAAGCUCUAUCAGCAGGGAAGAAAAUGACGGUACCUGAGUAAGAAGCCCCGGCUAACUACGUGCCAGCAGCCGCGGUACUACGUAGGGGGCAAGCGUUAUCCGGAUUUACUGGGGGUAAAGGGAGCGUAGGCGGGGUGGCAAGUCUGAAGUGAAAGGCGGGGGCCCAACCCCUGGACUGCUGUGGAAACUGUAUGGCUGGAGUGCAGGAGAGGUAAGUGGAAUUCCUGGUGUAGCGGUGAAAUGCGUAGAUAUUAGGAGGAACACCAGUGGCGAAGGCGGCUUACUGGACUGUAACUGACGUUGAGGCACGAAAGCGUGGGGAGCAAACAGGAUUAGAUACCCUGGUAGUC
rnacentral:rRNA from 1 species